rnacentral:rRNA from 1 species
AGCGGCAACAGCUCAAAUUUGAAAUCUGGCUCUUUUAGAGUCCGAGUUGUAAUUUGCAGAGGGCGCUUUGGCUUUGGCAGCGGUCCAAGUUCCUUGGAACAGGACGUCACAGAGGGUGAGAAUCCCGUACGUGGUCGCUGGCUAUUGCCGUGUAAGCCCUUUCGACGAGUCGAGUUGUUUGGGAAUGCAGCUCUAAAUGGGAGGUACAUUUCUUCUAAAGCUAAAUAUUGGCCAGAGACCGAUAGCGCACAAGUAGAGUGAUCGAAAGAUGAAAAGCACUUUGGAAAGAGAGUCAAACAGCACGUGAAAUUGUUGAAAGGGAAGCGCUUGCAGCCAGACUUGCUUACAGUUGCUCAUCCGGGUUUCUACCCGGUGCACUCUUCUGUAGGCAGGCCAGCAUCAGUUUGGGCGGUAGGAUAAAGGUCUCUGUCACGUACCUCCUUUCGGGGAGGCCUUAUAGGGGAGACGACAUACUACCAGCCUGGACUGAGGUCCGCGCAUCUGCUAGGAUGCUGGCGUAAUGGCUGUAAGCGGCCCGUCUUGAAACACGGACCAAGGAGUCUAACAUCUAUGCGAGUGUUUGGGUGUCAAGCCCGAGCGCGUAAUGAAAGUGAACGGAGGUGGGAACCCGCAAGGGUGCACCAUCGACCGAUCCUGAUGUCUUCGGAAGGAUUUGAGUAAGAGCAUGGCUGUUGGGACCCGAAAGAUGGUGAACUAUGCUUGAAUAGGGUGAAGCCAGAGGAAACUCUGGUGGAGGCUCGCAGCGGUUCUGACGUGCAAAUCGAUCGUCAAAUUUGGGCAUAGGGGCGAAAGACUAAUCGAACUAUCUAGUAGCUGGUUCCUGCCGAAGUUUCCCUCAGGAUAGCAGUAACGUAUUCAGUUUUAUGAGGUAAAGCGAAUGAUUAGAGGCCUGGGGGUUGAAACAACCUUCACCUAUUCUCAAACUUUAAAUAUGUAAGAAGUCCUUGUUACUUAAUGA